rnacentral:rRNA from 1 species
GAUGAACGCUGGCGGCGUGCCUAAUACAUGCCAGUCGAGCGGACAGACGAGGAGCUUGCUCCUCUGACGUUAGCGGCGGACGGGUGAGUAACACGUGGAUAACCUACCUAUAAGACUGGGAUAACUUCGGGAAACCGGAGCUAGUACCGGAUAAUAUAUUGAACCGCAUGGUUCAAUAGUGAAAGACGGUUUUGCUGUCACUUAUAGAUGGAUCCGCGCCGCAUUAGCUAGUUGGUAAGGUAACGGCUUACCAAGGCAACGAUGCGUAGCCGACCUGAGAGGGUGAUCGGCCACACUGGAACUGAGACACGGUCCAGACUCCUACGGGAGGCAGCAGUAGGGAAUCUUCCGCAAUGGGCGAAAGCCUGACGGAGCAACGCCGCGUGAGUGAUGAAGGUCUUCGGAUCGUAAAACUCUGUUAUUAGGGAAGAACAAAUGUGUAAGUAACUAUGCACGUCUUGACGGUACCUAAUCAGAAAGCCACGGCUAACUACGUG